UCAGUAAGCAGAGGAAUUUCAUCAAACUAGGAUUUUGCUAGUAGUUGCGAAUGAAUACAAAGCUAAUCAUAAUGACAAUUGCUGCACACUUUGUGCAGUGAAUUGUUUACUUUUGGUAUAAUGCCUAUCAAAGCUGCAUACAAAUGAUUUUUGAAAUGAUACAACAUGGGAUGCGAUGUUUAUGUAUGUGUGCCUGCUUUGUCCACAGCAUGUGCUGAAUGAAUCACAUUUCUUGCAACUGAAAUGCAAAUGGCAUGGUGAAGUUCAUGUGACAUGACACAUGCUUGAGAUUCAUGAUGUGCAAGUACCAUGAGGGAAAUGUGAACAGGACUGUGGAAAGAGAAUUAAAUAAAGCCUGCAAUUGCUGGACAUGAAAGCAAGCGUAGACAUUCAUUGAAGUGUUACUGCAUCUUUACACCACCUUUAUGGUUACUGUAUGCUUUACAUUACAACACAAAUAAUGAAGUGCGUGUGUGUGUGUGUGUCUACUUUGCUUCAAUUGUUUCCACCUGGGAUCACUUGAAACAUUGUCCUGAGCACUCUUCAGUAUCACUGUGUACACCAGUAUAUUCCGGUCCUUUGUUGGCACAACAUGUGAAGGAUGAAUGUGGUUUAUGUGCCA
rnacentral:rRNA from 1 species